rnacentral:rRNA from 1 species
CAGUAGCCACGGGAAUACGUAGGUGGCAAGCGUUGUCCGGAAUUAUUGGGCGUAAAGCGCGCGCAGGCGGAUCAGUCAGUCUGUCUUAAAAGUUCGGGGCUUAACCCCGUGAGGGGAUGGAAACUGCUGAUCUAGAGUAUCGAAGAGGAAAGUGGAAUUCCACGUGUAGCGGUGAAAUGCGUAGAGAUGUGGAGGAACACCAGUGGCGAAGGCGACUCUCUGGUCUGUAACUGACGCUGAGGAGCGAAAGCGUGGGGAGCGAACAGGAUUAGAUACCCCCGUAGUCCCUGUCUCUUAUACA